rnacentral:rRNA from 1 species
UACGGGGGGGGCAAGCGUUGUCCGGAAUCACUGGGCGUAAAGGGCGCGUAGGCGGCCUGGUAAGUAGGGGGUGAAAUCCUGCGGCUUAACCGCAGGGCUGCCUUCUAAACUGUCAGGCUCGAGCACGGUAGAGGCAGAUGGAAUUCCCGGUGUAGCGGUGGAAUGCGUAGAGAUCGGGAAGAACAUCAGUGGCGAAGGCGGUCUGCUGGGCCGUUGCUGACGCUGAGGCGCGACAGCGUGGGGAGCAAACAGG